UAUACCGCGAAACUGCGAAUGGCUCAUUAUAUAAGUUAUCGUUUAUUUGAUAAUACUUUACUACUUGGAUAACCGUGGUAAUUCUAGAGCUAAUACAUGCUGAAAAUCCCGACUUCGGAAGGGAUGUAUUUAUUAGAUUAAAAACCAAUGCCCCUCGGGGCUCUCUGGUGAAUCAUGAUAACUAGUCGAAUCGACAGGCCUUGUGCCGGCGAUGGCUCAUUCAAAUUUCUUCCCUAUCAACUUUCGAUGUUUGGGUAUUGGCCAAACAUGGUGGCAACGGGUAACGGAGGGUUAGGGCUCGACCCCGGAGAAGGAGCCUGAGAAACGGCUACUACAUCCAAGGAAGGCAGCAGGCGCGCAAAUUACCCAAUCCCGACACGGGGAGGUAGUGACAAUAAAUACUGAUACAGGGCUCUUUUGGGUCUUGUAAUCGGAAUGAGUACAAUUUAAAUCCCUUAACGAGGAACAAUUGGAGGGCAAGUCUGGUGCCAGCAGCCGCGGUAAUUCCAGCUCCAAUAGCGUAUAUUAAAGUUGUUGUGGUUAAAAAGCUCGUAGUUGAACCUUGGGCCUGGCUGGCCGGUCCGCCUCACCGCGUGCACUGGUCCGGCCGGGCCUUUCCCUCUGCGGAACCCCAUGCCCUUCACUGGGUGUGGCGGGGAAACAGGACUUUUACUUUGAAAAAAUUAGAGUGCUCAAGGCAGGCCUAUGCUCGAAUACAUU
rnacentral:rRNA from 1 species